rnacentral:rRNA from 1 species
AACGUAGGGGGCAAGCGUUGCCCGGAUUCACUGGGCGUAAAGCGGGUGUAGGCGGUCCUUUAAGUCAGGUGUGAAAUCCUGCGGCUCAACCGCGGAACUGCAUCUGAUACUGGGGGACUUGAGGACGGUAGAGGUCGGUGGAAUCCCCUGUGUACCGGUGAAAUGGGCAGAUAUAGGGGGGAACACCAGUGGCGAAGGCGGCCGACUGGGCCGAUCCUGACGCUGAGACACGAAAGCGUGGGGAGCAAACAGG